rnacentral:rRNA from 1 species
UAAGGAAUAUUGGACAAUGCCCGCAAGGGUGAUCCAGCCAUGCCGCGUGCAGGAAGACGGCCCUAUGGGUUGUAAACUGCUUUUACACCGGAGAAAACCCUCGUUCGUGAACGAGGCUGAUAGUAUGGUGAGAAUAAGCAUCGGCUAACUUCGUGCCAGCAGCCGCGGUAAGACGAAGGAUGCAAGCGUUAUCCGGAUUCAUUGGGUUUAAAGGGAGCGUAGGUGGCCUUAUAAGUCAGUGGUGAAAUCUCUGGGCUUAACCCAGAAAUUGCCAUUGAUACUGUAGGGCUUGAGUAUAGAUGCCGUUGGCGGAAUAUGACAUGUAGUGGUGAAAUACAUAGAGAUGUCAUAGAACACCGAUUGCGAAGGCAGCUAACGAAACUAUAACUGACACUGAGGCUCGAAAGUGUGGGGAUCAAACAGG